rnacentral:rRNA from 1 species
GGCACCUUCGGUGUCCGAGUUGUAAUCUCUAGAAGUGUUUUCCGCGUUGGACCGCACACAAGUCUGUUGGAAUACAGCGGCAUAGUGGUGAAACCCCCGUAUAUGGUGCGGACGCCCAGCGCUUUGUGAUACACUUUCAAUGAGUCGAGUUGUUUGGGAAUGCAGCUCAAAUUGGGUGGUAAAUUCCAUCUAAAGCUAAAUAUUGGCGAGAGACCGAUAGCGAACAAGUACCGUGAGGGAAAGAUGAAAAGCACUUUGGAAAGAGAGUUAACAGUACGUGAAAUUGUUGGAAGGGAAACGCUUGAAGUCAGACUUGCUUGCCGGAGCUUGCUUCGGUUUGCAGGCCAGCAUCAGUUUUCCGGGGUGGAUAAUGACGGUUUGAAGGUAGCAGUCUCGGCUGUGUUAUAGCUUUCCGUUGGAUACAUCCUGGGGGACUGAGGAACGCAGCGUGCUUUUUGCGAAAGACUCGUCUUUUUCACGCUUAGGAUGCUGGUGGAAUGGCUUUAAACG